GUAUAUGCAGUCGUCUCACCGCACAGUCGUCUCACCGCACGACAGUUCUCGGAGCAAGUUAGUUGGUCUUUGUUCACCAUCUCGGGUCUUUUCGCAUUUCAUUGGAACAAAGAUGAUCUUGUAAUGACAUUGCAGGAGGUGGAGGUUCUUACCGAGUAGGUAAGGGCGCGUAUGAACGAGGACAUGGAGGCUAAGAUGGCUCAUAUGUAGGCUCAGAUGGACGCUCAGUUAAAGGCUCAGGCGGCUCAGAUGCGGCUUCCGCACUGAAGGCUCAGUACGAACAUCUUAGGCCGUACCUCACUACCUCUGCUCAAGACGUUGAGAUUGAGCUCUAUUCCACAGCCUACUCCACAUACUCCGUCCAGCCGUGGCUCGAACGACCCUUCUUCGCACGCAAGCGUUGCUGAAGGCAACCCUCUUGGCCAGUCACCAGCUCCCGGGCUCUGACUCGAGUAAGUUGCCUCAACCUUGUAUC